AACGAACGCUGGCGGCGUGGCUAAGGCAUGCAAGUCGUACGGGACCAUCUGGGUAGCAAUAUCACGGUGGUUCAGUGGCGGACGGGUGAGUAAUGCAUGGGUAACGUACCCUAAGCACAGGGAUACCGGCGGGCCCGCAAGGGUCCUUUGCGAAAGUGCCGUUAAUACCUGAUGACGUAUCGGGGUCGCAUGGCUCUGAUACCAAAGGGUGGGGAUCUUCGGACCUAUCGGCUUUUGAGCGACCCAUGUCCUAUCAGCUAGUUGGUGGGUAACGGCCUACCAAGGCAUCGACGGGUAGCCGGCGUGAGAGCGCGACCGGCCACAUCGGAACUGAGACACUGUCCGGACACCUACGGGUGGCUGCAGCAACG
rnacentral:rRNA from 1 species